rnacentral:rRNA from 1 species
CCACGAAAACUACACUGUCUCCCCCCUACAAUCAAUGAAACUGAUCUCCCCGUGAAGAAGCGGGAAUAAACCUAUAAGACGAGAAGACCCCAUGGAGCUUAAAACUCAGUACCACCUACUCUUUACCACCUCAUAAUAACCCAGUAUGCAUGACUACUAGUUUUUGGUUGGGGUGACCGCGGAGUAAAACUUAACCUCCACAAUGAAUGGAACUAAAUUCCUAACUCUAGACCCACACCUCAAAAAAUUAAAAUAUUAACAUAACUUGACCCAAGCCAUUGAUCAACGAACCAAGUUACCCUGGGGAUAACAGCGCAAUCCAUUUUAAGAGCCCCUAUCGACAAAUGGGUUUACGACCUCGAUGUUGGAUCAGGGUAUCCUAGUGGUGCAGCCGCUACUAAAGGUUCGUUUGUUCAACGAUUAAAACCCUACG